AAAAGUGAAUAAUAUGCUAUCAUCAUCAGCAUAUAGCAAUGCACAUUAAGAAUUUGAAACAAAAGCAUCACCCAUAGAAAAGGAGAAAAUAGUGAUCUGCAAAAGAAACCAUAAUCCUACAUUUUGUUUUGAAUCUUAAGAAUAUAUUAAGAAAAAAAAAAAUAGCCUGGAUCCAGUGGGCCAAAAUUGUGGAAUUAAGUAUGGUCUAAGUAGGUAGCACAAAUUCCAGUUUCAAAUACAGGAAAACAAACUACAAACGUUAAAGAACAUUUGUAUGCUAUUGUUUCGCUUUGCUACAUUCCUUGCAAACCAAAAAAAGCAAAACAUAAAAACUACGAUAAUUAUACAACAGAAUAGCAAUGCUAACCGGCAAGGUGUCCCACAUGACUCUACUGUCGUCUGGAUUUAGAUGAUAGUAAGCAGAACCCAAAGCGACACCUACGAUUCAUCCAUAGAAAAGCAGCCAACCCCAAACCUCUCCUCGCAAG
rnacentral:misc_RNA from 1 species